ACAUUCUCCUUUGUCUCCGCCGAGCACAGGACAUCUCCAUACUCUUAAACAUGAAGCUGUUUUCGAUGCUUGCUCUCGUGGCUGUGGUCCUGUCGUGCCUGGUGAGCCGGAGCAGUGCCAUGCCUGGGCCUGACCCUGUGGCUGACCCCGGAUAUCGUCGCUACGGUGGAUAUGGCUAUGGUGGAUACGGUGGCUACGGGGGAUACGGAGGGUAUGGAUAUGGAGGAUAUCGCGGUGGCUUCUACGGAUAGAGAUGCUUCUCUUAUCAGCAAUACCUACUGGCCUGAAGGAGAGUUGAAAAUAGCAUGAUACUGAAUUUCUUUUGAAAUAAACUGUUUACUUAUCAAUAAAACUGUGAGUAUCCUUA